rnacentral:lncRNA from 1 species
CCUGCGGCCAUGCUGGGCUAGGACAAGAGGCAGAGGCAGAGAGACAGAGAGGAGCCACCCUAAGAAGAGAGACCAGAUACCCUUUUCUCAUCCUUUGAGUUCAACAGAUGUCUCUUCUGGUUGCAAGUGACAGAAGCCCACACAGAAAAGGCUCAGACCAAAGAGAAAUUUAUGGGCUCCUGAAACCGUAUGUCAGAGAGAGAUUGGGCCAGGGCUGGGAUGUGACCCCGGCUCUUUCUUGGUUUCUCCUCGCCGCUUCUCUCUCUCCUGCAGCCUCACAGUCUCAGACAGGAUUCUUUCAAGAAUUGCAAACUUGGCUGAAGACCUUCCUGUCCCCUUUCUUACCUCCCAUGUACAGGAUGGGGGUGAUGAUCCCACUUCUCUGACUCUCACCCAGAAGUUAGGAACUCCUUAAGCAAUGCCAAGUCAAGUCCUUCUCACCCUCCAAAUUGCUCCUGCCUCCUCUGCUGCGUCUCUAGGACUCUCCUGAUUCACUCUCCUCUUCUGAUCUGCCUCUCCUGGAUCA